GGCAAGAUGAUGAGCUAAUGUGCCCUGAAAUCUCAUGUGGAUAGUAAAUUAUGGCCUUCAAAGUUAUCUGAUUGCU